UACAGAGGGUGCGAGCGUUAAUCGGAAUUAUGACUGGGCGUAAAGCGUGCGUAGACGGUUAUGUUAAGUCGGUGUGAAAGCCCCGGGCUCAACUGGAAUUGCAUUCGAGACUGCAUAGCUAGGGUGCGGAAGAGGGAAGCGGAAUUUCCGGUGAUAGCGGUGAAAUGCGUAGAGAUGCGGAGGAACACCGAUGGCGAAGGCAGCCCCCUGGGCUAACACUGACGCUACAGGCACGAA
rnacentral:rRNA from 1 species